ACAGUCUGCAAGCUCACAAUCUAUCCUUUUUAUCAUCAGGCGUAAACCGACUGCCCUUCUCCAGAAGGAGGCUAAGGAAGCUGUUAAGGCCUCAAAUAAAGGAGAGCUGCAGCAGCGCUGGACAAGAAGCAGCAGCACAGCUUUAAUAAGACAACUGCAGAAUGGAGUAAGGACUUGCGGACAGAGUUUGCAAGGAAUCGUCUUUUCUACGUGACACAGAUCUACAAGCACAAGACUUCUACAAGGAGUCAUCUGGAAAUUGUUAUAAAAGAUUACAAGUCCCUUUCAGGAAUUGCAGGAUAUUACUGCCUUUUGAAAACCCUUAUACAAACAUUAUUUCAUACUGUCUUUAAACACAAAUUCAGAGCAAUGUUAAACUAACUGUUGUAUACAUUGGAUAUAGUGACCUCAAGAGGAGAUCAAAAUCUUGUAAAGGUGGAAGAAGUGUUCAUGAACUGCAAAAAGCCAAGAAGCAGCUUAAGAGUCGAAUUGCAUGUUAUCCCGGAGGACCCUGAAGUCUCUCUGGACGUAAUGGGGAGCUUGUAUUAAGGUGGUUCAUGUUCAGCCAGAGCUGGCCCAGGCCAAAGCAGAUAUUGAUCGCAGAAUUCAUGAAAAGAAGAGGAAUUCAAAAUCACAAGGUUAUAACUACAAGCAAAUGUUCAUUAUCCUCAUCACUGGAUCGGUAAUAUAAUACAAAUAUAUCACAUUUAAUCAUCAAAGAGGACAAUCGUAGUAUAACAAUUUUCACAUCCUUGAAGGAAAACUAUCAGCAUGUAAUAAGAGUCCCUCAGAGGCUGUGUCGAAGCUUUGAAGUUCAAGAAGAAAAUGGAGUCAGACUUGAAUGAAAUGGAGAUUUAGCUGGAUCACACCAACAAGAACAACUGUGAGAUGGUUCAGACCCUUGAGAGACUGCAACAGCAGAUCACUUUAACCAGAAUAAACUCUUCGAUAUUACACAACACUGAUGUAAUUCAUUUAAAGGAACAGUAUGUAAGAAAUUUAUAUAAAUUAAUCAUAAAAUGGCCCUGAUAUGUCACUAGACAUUAAGAAAUCAUUUUCAUUUCAGUUACUUAUAUCACUGACAACAGUGGUCUGGCCAGGAUAUUGUCAUUUAAAAAGUGGAGUUGCAGCCCUCAACUGAUGUUUAUGUUGUCAUUCUGUGUAUUGGCCACCAGUUGUGUGAUUGCAGUACCAGUUUUAGCCACAAGUUUUGUGAUUGCAGUACCAGUUUUGGCCACAAUCCUACAUACUGUUCCUUUAAUUUUAUAUAUACAGUAUACAUUAUACUUUUAUCCAAAACAACUUACAAAGAAGAGAGCAUUUACAAUUUAGCUAAGGAUUGUACUUCAUUAGAAUGCAUUUUCAAUCCACUUUUCUUAUUGAAAAUAAAAUGUUAAAACAUAAAACAUUUUGUUUUACUUUCACUUAAAUAUGUUGAUGCCUAGAUAGUAUUAAGUAGAGUUUUAACUGAGUAAAAUCUUAAUACAAUUAAUAUAUUUUCAAAAGUACUAUAUAUUAAAAUUUGUUAAACACAGCUGAAACUUUAAUUGGUAGUU